UGUCACAAAGGUCAGAGACACGGUGGCAUCAGUCUCUGGCCCUCUCUCCAGAAAGUCCAGCACUUCAGGCCUGACCCGAGACACCUGCUGGCGGGCAUCUAGAGUGACCCCCAGCGGGAUUCCCCCAAUCACUAACUGGCAGCAUCUUUCUG